rnacentral:tRNA from 1 species
GGUGGCUCAGUGGUAGAGUGCUUGCCUUGCAUGCAUGAGGCCCUAGGUUUGAUUCCUUAGUACCA